rnacentral:rRNA from 1 species
GGAAUAUUGGACAAUGGGCGCAAGCCUGAUCCAGCCAUGCCGCGUGAGUGAUGACGGCCCUAGGGUUGUAAAGCUCUUUCAACGGUGAAGAUAAUGACGGUAACCGUAGAAGAAGCCCCGGCUACCUUCGUGCCAGCAGCCGCGGUAAUACGAAGGGGGCUAGCGUUGUUCGGAAUUACUGGGCGUAAAGCGCACGUAGGCGGACUUGUAAGUCAGGGGUGAAAUCCCGGGGCUCAACCCCGGAACUGCCUUUGAUACUGCGAGUCUAGAGGUCGAGAGAGGUGAGUGGAAUUCCGAGUGUAGAGGUGAAAUUCGUAGAUAUUCGGAGGAACACCAGUGGCGAAGGCGGCUCACUGGCUCGAUACUGACGCUGAGGUGCGAAAGCGUGGGGAGCAAA